rnacentral:rRNA from 1 species
GACGAACGCUGGCGGCGUGCUUAACACAUGCAAGUCGAACGGGCCUUGUCCCCUUUUUUUUGGGGGUGGGGUUAGUGGCGAACGGGUGAGUAACACGUGAGUAACCUGCCCCUCACUUCUGGAUAACCGCUUGAAAGGGUGGCUAAUACGGGGUGUUCUGGCCUGCUCGCAUGGGUGGGUUUGGAAAGAUUCGACCGGUUUUGGUUGUUUUGGUGGGGGAUGGGCUCGCGGCCUAUCAGCCUGUUGGUGGGGUGAUGGCCUGCCAAGGCUUUGACGGGUAGCCGGCCUGAGAGGGUGGGCGGUCACACUGGGAGUGAGACACGGCCCAGACUCCUACGGGAGGCAGCAGUGGGGAAUAUUGCACAAUGGGCGCAAGCCUGAUGCAGCGACGCCGCGUGAGGGAUGGAGGCCUUCGGGUUGUGAACCUCUUUCGCCAGUGAAGAAGGUCCUGCUCUUUGUGGUGGGGUUGACGGUAGCUGGGUUAAUGAAGCGCCGGCUAACUACGUG